rnacentral:rRNA from 1 species
ACGGAAGGCAGCAGUAGGGAAUAUUGCACAAUGGGGGAAACCCUGAUGCAGCAAUGUCACGUGUGGGAAGAAGCAUUUCGGUGUGUAAACCACUGUCGUGAGGGAAUAAUGUUGCGUUUCGGCUCAAUUGAAUUUACCUCGAAAGGAAGCACCGGCAAACUUCGUGCCAGCAGCCGCGGUAAUACGAGGGGUGCAAUCGUUGUUCGGAAUCACUGGGCGUAAAGGGAGCGUAGGCGGAGGAGCAAGCAGUCUGUACAAUCCCGGGGCCUAACCCCGGCUCUGCAGACUGGACUGUUUCUCUUGGAUAGUUCAGGGGCAGGCGGAAUUCCUGGUGUAGCGGUGGAAUGCGUAGAGAUCAGGAAGAACACCGAUGGCGAAGGCAGCCUGCUGGGGACUUAUCGACGCUGAGGCUCGAAAGUGCGGGUAGCAAACAGGAUUAGAUACCCUGGUA